UUAGGGAACAGGUGAGGGGUUGCUGAGGGGGUAGGAGAACAGGAGAGAGCUGGCGUGUGGGGGUGCUGAGGGGAGUUUGGGAAAGAGGGUUUGUGGAAGCUCCAUGUGGGGACACUGAAGGGUGAGAGGGGCCUGAGGGAGGGGAUGGCUGCUGAGGCCAUUUGAGCUCAGACAGCAUUUUGAGGGGCAGCAGGCCUGAGGGAGAAUGAGGAAAAAGGUGGUGAAAGGGGCAGAGAGAUGAGGGGCUCAGCAAGGGGCUACAUGGGGCCUGGUCAUGGAUAGGGAGAAGAGGUGUAGGGGAGAGGCCUGGCAUGGGUGGGAACUUUUUGGGGGCAGUGUGGCAGAGGACAGUGGGUUUGGGGCAGGCUGGCUGUGGUGAGGACAUGGAGCCAAGUAGAGCUGCCUCUCUGGCCAGGAGCAGCUCAUCUAUAGGCAGUGACAACCCCAGGAGGUGGUAGGUGACUGCUCUAGUGCAGCAGCCCUCACCAAAUGGGUGCAUUUCAGCCUGCCCUUGGCCAAGCUGUAUCUGGGAUGUGGCCAGAAGAGGGGAAAAAAAAAAAUCUUAUGGGUUGAGCACAUGGCCUCCUAAACUGUACUCUUGGCUCUCAGUGGUGGGUGUUGAACUUGGUAGGUUGUUGAGCCUUUGUGUGCUUUGGUAUCUCCAUCUACGAAGCAGAGAUAACAGUUGGCUUCAUGCAGGGAUUAAUUAUCACAUCUUGUAGUCACGUAUUUGUUUAUUUGUUUUUACUAUAGAUUACAGCUGGAGGAAUUCUAAACAGUCCACUUCUCCUUGUCAUGGUGUUUGAGCGCAUUGUGCUCCUGUCUGAACAGAGGAAAUCACUGAGUAAUGGGGCUUCUGGUACACAGAUAUCUGCUGGUACUCAAACUGAAAGUGAAAUCCCUGGCUGUUGGUGUGGUUGCUGUCCUUAGGACACGUGAAUGUCUGCUCCUGUUUUGCUGUAGCUGCAGCUCCUCUCUGGUUCCACACACCUGCUUUGUCACAGAGUGUCAGUAACUUUGCAGAAGUCACUGCAUCCUCUGCUGUGCUUGGGAUCAACUCUGGCAUCUGUCUGAAUGUAUGUACAUCCCUACUGCAGACCUGCUUUUCCUAUCCACACUCUUAUCUGAGACCAAGGCCUGGAUGAUGUUUGGAGACUGGGUAUACCUUUACUGGAUGAACUGAUGGAUGUACACCAUGAUGUUCUAGGGCAUAAGAGAUGGAAGCCUCAUAAAAGUGUUGUCCAUGCUGCAUUCAGCUGUGGGGAUGUUGUCUUAAAUGAUUGAUUUUAUAUUUGAAGUCCUAUUGCUUGAUUUAUAUAUUGAUUUUUAGUAUCUUGGCAGACCUUUCUCUUACACAGUAAAGCAUACCUGGGGUUCUAGUAGAACUCUGCUCUUAGGUCAAGCUCAAACCUCAUUGCUCCUCCCUGCCUUCAGCUGGAAAUGGACAGACACCAUUUGUGACUGAAUAUCCUGAGUCACCGAUUCCCAGCUGGCAUGUGCACUGCAGUUCCGUCUCUUCCUUUCCGACUGCACUCCCUAGAGGAGAUUGGGAACAACUGCACUCGUCAGCUCCAGCGUGGUGUGUGCACUUGCCGGGAUCCACACAAUUGGUGGACAACCCCUGUCUACGUCUAUGGGGAAGCAAGGGACUGGAUACCCUAAACAGUAACUGCAGUGGAGCCAUUUCCAGGAGGUCAAAGUCCACUGCAAGCAGUGACUGAUACAAUUCCCUGUGUAAGUCAGGCUGGACUGCCUGUGCCUCAGGUUCUAACAGCAGGGGAGGUUGUGCAAGAGCACCUUGGUAGGUGUUUGUCUGGAUUUCUCUGUGGUCCCUGUGAUGAUCCUAGGAAGCAGGAGGAGAUCCAGAAUUGUCUGAAAGCCAGGAUUCUUUGAAGUCCCAGAGAAGUAAUGAUGAGAGUUGUGGCUGAGGCCAACCUGCUAGCCUGCUUCCCAUUCUGCUUCUUGUAGGUGUCCAAGAAGCUGCCUCCAGUUUGUACAAUUGCACUCUAGUAAACAAUUUUGCAUGCAGAUAUGGGCAGCAGAUGUUAUUCAUGCCUGUGUGAACACUUCAGUGUUUUUCCAACAGGGAUGAUCCUCAGAUUGAGUCCUGUUAAACAAUGGAUGUACCCACCAGAAGUGCCACUGGUCACAGCCAUUCUGUCACAGUUUGCACAAAACGCUUUGAAGGAUGGUCACGCCAUCCUUCUUUGGCCACUUGAGGGGAUUGACUCACAAAUAUGAGCAAAAUAAAAUUAGAUGGCUUAAGUGGCUGCAACCCCAGCUGUGUCCCCACUGCCCAAUUCCCAGAAGCUCAUCCCUGCAGCCAGCCUGGCUGUGGAAGGCAACUCCUGAGCUGCUGUAGUGACAGCCCAUUCUUCAGAGUGUUAAUGUUUGUCUGGCUCCUCUGUGAAACAGUUUAGGAAGCUUAACCAGAAUAAAAAUGUGCACUUUUCCAUCUGAAGAAUUAUUUUUUAGUUUAAUUUCUCAAAUGGGCUCUGAGAAGCAGAAGUGUUGCUGUGAGGGCAGGGCAGAGAGAGAUGACCUUCCCUUUUGGGAGCAGCCAUUACGUCAGUUUUGCUGCCUCACAAAACUAUACCCUGUGGUUAUUUUUGGUGCUGGACUGCCUUAAUUUUCUGGAGAGUGAAUGAAGGAUUAGCAUAGUGUGCUUUUGACAUUUGGAAACUAAGCUCUCAGAAGAAAAAAUCAUAAUUUAGUAUGUGCUGAGGUGGAAAUGCUUAAAUUGCUAGGGAUGGAAAGAUGGGCAAAACAUGAAUUUUUUACAAUUUUUAUGAUUCAGCUAGGGAGUUAAAUACUUUUAAAUUUUUUUUUUUGGUUUUGCUGCUUUUUAAGACCUCUAACCCAAUGCCUACUAUGCAGCUGCCUCUAGAGAGAGAAGUCUUUAAAGAGACCAGCUUUGUACCUAUAAAUAAUGUACACAGCAGAGUACAAAAAUGGAGUCAAGGAGAAGCUCCUCCUUACCUGAAUGUAACUGCAGCAGCUGCAUGGGAAUAGCUGUGGUCAGGCUGUGAGCAGCACUCAUACCCUGUCAUCCAUCUUGACUAAACUGCUUCUGAGAACUAAUUCUGAGAUCCCAACACCUGAAUAUCAACUGGUAAAUCCCAAUUGCCUUGUACUGAAACACAUUAGAUGCCAGCAGCCAAACGUGGCAAGGUUUUGAACAGUGUGGUUAUAAUCCCACCUGGAACUAAAGGUCUGCUGGAGUGCUUUGUUAAGUGUUGGAAUAUGGAGAAUUUCUCAAGUCUGAACCUCUGCUAUAAAUGAAAACACUGUGGCAAAAAAAUGUAAAUAAAUGCCACACAUUUUGUGUAAGAGCCCUUCCCAAUAUCUAUAAAUAUGGUAAUUUUGAUGUUUCCUGGUUUUGAGUUUUAAACAGGAGACAGAAACAUGAAAUAUCACAAUGCAAGCAUUUUAUUUUUUUCAUGGAUUAAUUUUAUAAUUUCACUUUUAUUUUACCUGAAAACAAUUAAUGGAAACUAAAUGUAAUGUUUUAUAGAGGAUUGCCUUUGAAAGGAAAUAAUUUGUUCUUGAAAAAAUAACUUCAAUAGCUUCUCAGUUUAACUGCAUUUUAAUAUGAACACAAAACUCAUCCCAGGUCAGACUCUCCAGGAAAACUUUCUCAUUAUUCCUGUAGCAGUUGAUUCAUUCCAUGCUGCCUUAAUUUUGCAGCUUUAAAGGGCAGGUUCUCUGCAAAGCCAUCCACUUCAAAGCUUCAUAAAACAGAGCUUUGAAUAAAUUACUGAGUCAGAAAUUAUAUUGGCUGUGCCCAGCUUUGUGCCUGGAUGUGGGAAUACUUGGCACUGGGUGUGGAAUUCCAAGGAAAAUUGCCUCUUUGCUGGCUUGCCAAAGAGCAGUAAGAAGGAAAACUGCUGCAGAUGAGCAGACACGGAAAUCUCCAGCUUCCCUUUCCAGAGAACACAUCCUGAAGAACUGUUGAAUAUUAAUACAUAUUAUAACUGGUGCAACACUGGGCAAACCCUGGCACUGACAGAAACUCCUGCUUCUGGAGGGGAUGUGUCCCAGCGUGGCCACGGGGCAGCAUCCCUGCUGGAACUACUCUUACCUUUAAAAUGCAUCCCUGAGGAUGCACCGUGGAAUCCGUGGCAGUGGGGAAGGCCCACUGUGUGUGGACACACCAUGUUGGGGUGUGGGAUGCCCGUGCUUCAUGAAGCCCAGGCUGUGUUAUUUUGGAUUUUUUUUUCUCUCUUUUGCAAGCUUUAGAUAAUAUAAUACUAAUUAUAGCAGUGACAUAGUUGAUUUGUCUUUCACAAAGAGACAGCCCACCUUCCUCUGUAUUCAGACUUCAGCUGUGUGUAUGUGGAGACGAUUUGUCUAUAAUUGUUUGCUUUCUUCAGAGUCUUUUGAAGUUUAAAUCUUCAAGCCAGCUCCCUAUAUUAAAAAUAAAUUCUUCCAAGCCACCAAUAAAAUGUCAGCUGUGAUUAAAGCCCGACUCCUCAUUUUAAGACUUGUCUCCUAAGCACUGUGAGGUCACUCAAUGAGUCAGCGUUUGAAAGGACCAGGACCGUUAUUGUUUGGGUAAAGCCCAAAGUUCAUCAUUGCUUUCUUAAAUGGUUUCAUCACGUUCUAAAUGGCUUUGCAUUGUGCUGAA